GCUGCAACGCGCGCAAGAAGGACGCCGUCCUCACCAAGUGCUUCCACGUCUUCUGCUUCGAGUGCGUCAAGAGCCGCUACGACACCCGCCAGCGCAAGUGCCCCAAGUGCAACGCCGCCUUUGGCGCCCACGACUUCCACCGCGUCUACAUCAGCUGAGCCCCUCCCCCCCCGGGCCACCCGCCGUGGCCAAAGGUCAACCCCGCUUGGCCAAGGUCAACGUUGGGGGUCGUCACCACAUUGGACCCCCAAAUUUUCCCCUUUUUUGACCGUCAAGGUUGAGUUUUGACCAACCGGUUGACCCUUGACCUUUCUCUGGUGACCCACGGCCACCCACCAUGACCAAAGGUCAACCCCGGUUGGCCAAGGUCAACGUUGGGGGUCGUCACCACAUUGGACCCCCAAUUUCCCCAUUUUUUGACUUUCAUGGUUGACCUUUGAUCCUGCAGCCCCAUAGUGACCCCCAGGUGACCCCCAGGUGACCUCUGACCCCCCCACAAUAACCAAAGGUCAACCCCGGUUGGCCAAGGUCAACGUUGGGGGUCGUCACCACCUUGGCCCCCCAAUUUCCCCAUUUUUGGACUUUCAUGGUUGACCUUUGACCCCCCAGCCCAUAGUGACCCCCAGGUGACCUCUGACCCCCCCACAAUAACCAAAGGUCAACCACAGUUGGCCAAGGUCAACGUUGGGGGUCGUCACCACCUCAGACCCCAAAUUUCCCCCCUUUUUUGACCCUCAUGGUUGACCUUUGACCCCGUAGCCCCAUAGUGACCCCCAGGUGACCUGUGAUGACCCCACAAUGCCCAAAGGUCAACCACACUUGGCCAAGGUCAACGUUGGGGGUCGUCACCUCUUUGGACCCUAAAUUUCCCCCCUUUUUUGACCCUCAUGGUUGACCUUUGACCCCUUAGCCCAUAAUGACCUCCAGCUGACCUUUGACCCCCCCACGAUGACCAAAGGUCAACCACAGUUG